GCUCGUGUAGCUCAGUGGUUAGAGCUUCGUGCUUAUAGUGGCAUUCGGAUUUCCGAAGCUCACUGUGCAGAUAGCACAGCGAUGCGCCUUCGGGCGAAAAGCAACGCGACCGUCGUGGGUUCGAACCCCACCUCGAGCA
rnacentral:tRNA from 1 species